rnacentral:rRNA from 1 species
UUCGGACCUCCAAUCAAGC